rnacentral:rRNA from 1 species
AGUGAACGCUGGCGGUAGGCCUAACACAUGCAAGUCGAACGGCAGCACAGUAAGAGCUUGCUCUUACGGGUGGCGAGUGGCGGACGGGUGAGGAAUACAUCGGAAUCUACUUUUUCGUGGGGGAUAACGUAGGGAAACUUACGCUAAUACCGCAUACGACCUACGGGUGAAAGCAGGGGAUCUUCGGACCUUGCGCGAUUGAAUGAGCCGAUGUUGGAUUAGCUAGUUGGCGGGGGAAAGGCCCACCAAGGCGACGAUACGUAGCUGGACUGAGAGGGUGAGCGGCCACAGUGGGACGGAGACACGGCCCAAACUCCUACGGGAGGCAGCAGUAGGGGAUCUUCGGAGAGGGACGAAAGGCUGAACGAGCAACGCCGCGGGAGGGAAGAAGGGUGUCGGAUCGUAAAACUCGGUUGGUAGAGAAGAACGUUGGUGAGAGUGGAAAGCUCAUCAAGUGACGGUAACUACCCAGAAAGGGACGGCUAACUACGUG